UACGUAGGGUGCAAGCGUUGUCCGGAAUUAUUGGGCGUAAAGAGCUCGUAGGCGGUCUGUCGCGUCGGCUGUGAAAACCCGGGGCUCCAACCCCGGGCCUGCAGUCGAUACGGGCAGACUAGAGUGCGGUAGGGGAGACUGGAAUUCCGUGGUGUAGCGGUGAAAUGCGCAGAUAUCAGGAGGAACACCGGUGGCGAAGGCGGGUCUCUGGGCCGUAACUGACGCUGAGGAGCGAAAGCGUGGGGAGCGAACAGG
rnacentral:rRNA from 1 species